GGUGUCUCCUGUGAGCUUCCCCCAGCCCAUCGCACGGGGUGCUGAGUCCUGCCUUGCCCUGCAUCAAAUGCAGGUGUCGGAAGAGACACGGAUACUGAGACAGAAACAUGGUAUUGAGUUAAUUCCCCUCACUAAGAUUGAAUAUGAAUGGAAAGGGAAGGUAUAUUUCUACUUUGUUUUCGGUAAUGAAAAGCAAGUCUAUGCAGAGGAUUACCCGGGGAAAUGUUGCUGUGCCAUCCUGUGAGGGUGGACUGGUCCUGCCGAGAGCUGAAGCCAGGACCUGGGUACAAACUGCCAGACAGACCUCCUGCUGUUGCCAGGUGCUGAGACUGCUUGAGAAGAACCUCUCUGGGCUUCCCUUGGGGGUGAAUACCCCUUUCCACCCACCCAUGAGUUUUUUAUUGGGCUUUCUGCUUAAAAUGGGCUUAAUUCAG